GACGAACGCUGGCGGCGUGCUUAACACAUGCAAGUCGAACGGUGAAGCGCUUGCCUUUUUGGUGGGUGUGGAUGGGUGGCGAACGGGUGAGUAACACGUGAGUAACCUGCCCUCUUCUUCUGGAUAACCUCAUGAAAGUGGGGCUAAUACGGGGUAUUCCGGGUCUGUCGCAUGGCGGGUUUGGGAAAGAUUGCGCCUUUGGGUGUUUUCGGUGGGGGAUGGGCUCGCGGCCUAUCAGCUUGUUGGUGGGGUGAUGGCCUACCAAGGCGGUGACGGGUAGCCGGCCUGAGAGGGUGGACGGCCACACUGGGACUGAGACACGGCCCAGACUCCUGCGGGAGGCAGCAGUGGGGAAUAUUGCACAAUGGGCGCAAGCCUGAUGCAGCGACGCCGCGUGAGGGAUGGAGGCCUUCGGGUGGUGAACCUCUUUCGCCAGUGAAGCAGGCCUGCUCCUGUGUGGGUGGGUUGACGGUAGCUGGAUAAGAAGCGCCGGCUAACUACGUG
rnacentral:rRNA from 1 species